CAGGGCUCUUUAAUGACCACAGGGAGUUAGGACCUCGGUUUCUGACCAGACCAUGGUGGGCAAUUUAGCCAGGACAUCAGGAUACACCCUACACUUUAUGGAGGAUGCCCAGGGUUCUUUAAUGACCACAGGGAGUUAGGACCUCGGUUUUUGACCAGACCAUGGUGGGCAAUUUAGCCAGGACAUUGGGAUACACCCUACACUUUAUGGAGGAUGCCCAGGGUUCUUUAAUGACCACAGAGAGUUAGGACCUCGGUUUUACACUCAUUCGAGGAUGGCCCAAUUUUACAGCACAGUGAACCCCUUCACUGCACUGGGGCAUUGGGAUCCACAUUCAGACCACAGGGUAAGUAAGCGCCCCCUGCUGGCCUCACCAACACCUCUUCCAGCAGCAACCAAAGCUUUUUACUAAAUGGUCUUCCAACUAAUUACUGGCCAGGCUCGAAAAUACUUAGCUUCAGGUGGAUGACCCUCUUCUGAAGUGCAUGUGGUGUGGCUGCUGGCUAAAUACAAGGAACUGGAUUGAAUAUCCACUGACAGGUACAAGAACGUGGGCUAUACACUUCAAAAUUGCAAGACAGAACCAGCACACCCAUAAAAACCAUAGUUCCUUAGAUUUUAUUAGGUAUUUCUUGACAGUGCUGUAAUCAAAAAAAAAAAAAAUUCAAACUAAACAACCAAUCCUGGAAGCCAGAGUGGGGGGAGAGAGAGAGAAAGAGAGAGAGAAAUGGAGAGAAAGACAGAAGGCAGCUGGCUAGAGCGUCUGCGGAUUGUCUUCAAUGGCUCCCAAAGAGUGACUCUGUAUUCCCAACAAAAACCCAAUCGUCUAACUGUUGUGGAGGCAGAAUUCAA